rnacentral:misc_RNA from 4 species
AGGAAAAAAUAAAAUUAUCAUCUUCAGUU